GCUAAUACUGCAAGUCGAGCGGACAGAUGGGGAGCUUGCUCCCUGAUGUUAGCGGCGGACGGGUGAGUAACACGUGGGUAACCUGCCUGUAAGACUGGGAUAACUCCGGGAAACCGGGGCUAAUACCGGAUGGUUGUUUGAACCGCAUGGUUCAAACAUAAAAGGUGGCUUCGGCUACCACUUACAGAUGGACCCGCGGCGCAUUAGCUAGUUGGUGAGGUAACGGCUCACCAAGGCAACGAUGCGUAGCCGACCUGAGAGGGUGAUCGGCCACACUGGGACUGAGACACGGCCCAGACUCCUACGGGAGGCAGCAGUAGGGAAUCUUCCGCAAUGGACGAAAGUCUGACGGAGCAACGCCGCGUGAGUGAUGAAGGUUUUCGGAUCGUAAAGCUCUGUUGUUAGGGAAGAACAAGUACCGUUCGAAUAGGGCGGUACCUUGACGGUACCUAACCAGAAAGCCACGGCUAACUACGUGCCAGCAGCCGCGGUAAUACGUAGGUGGCAAGCGUUGUCCGGAAUUAUUGGGCGUAAAGGGCUCGCAGGCGGUUUCUUAAGUCUGAUGUGAAAGCCCCCGGCUCAACCGGGGAGGGUCAUUGGAAACUGGGGAACUUGAGUGCAGAAGAGGAGAGUGGAAUUCCACGUGUAGCGGUGAAAUGCGUAGAGAUGUGGAGGAACACCAGUGGCGAAGGCGACUCUCUGGUCUGUAACUGACGCUGAGGAGCGAAAGCGUGGGGAGCGAACAGGAUUAGAUACCCUGGUAGUCCACGCCGUAAACAAUGAUUGCUAAUGGUUAG
rnacentral:rRNA from 1 species